GUUUCGCUCACUGAAACUUGAUCACAAACUCUCCCAGAAUUGGCACCCAGCCACUUGGCUAAAAAACAUGUUCCAACCAACCAGUUAAAGAUGAGAAAGUUCCUCUUUCCUGUUUGUGUGAGUUUUGUACAGCUUCCUGUGAUACCACAUUGUGUCUGCCCGAAGAAGCCAUCUCUGAAUGUUCUGUAUGUGAUCUGAACCUGUUUGAACAGAUCCUCCCCAUUGUCCUGCCUGGAUAAGAGCCGCGUAACCUCCUGGCACAGAAUCUUCAGCAGUCCGUUAUUCGACAGAAAACAGGCAGCGUCGCAGACUGAAUCGUGAAUAUAUUCAGAACCAGACUCUCCUCAACCUCUUGGGCAGUGAAUUCCAAAGACUCACCAACCUUUGGGUGAAGACAUUUCUCAUCAUCUCGGUCCUGAAUGGUUGAGGCUUUAUUUUUCUGUGACUCCGAUUUCUGGACACCCCAGUUGGAAGAACCAGCACACCUCUGUCAAUUUUGUACCUUUUGAUGAGAUCAUCUCUUCUUCUAGAUUCAGUCUGCUUAAUCUCUUCUCAAAGGACAAACCUGUCAGUCCAUGAAUCAAACUCAUGGACCUUCACUUCACUCUUUCUGUACCAGACUUGCACACAUUGUUCCAAACACAGUCUUACCAGAGCUGUAGCUAAUUGAAACAAGAUGUCUCGACUCUUAGACUCAAAUGCUUAUGUAAUAAAGACCGAUGUACUGUUUGCCAUUAUAA